AAGACCCCGUCUUACCUUUCCUCCCUUCUCCAUCUCUCUAGAAGCACAAGAUCAUCUGAGCUUAUCAAACUCAUCAACCCACUCACCAGGACUACCUUCGGCCGAAACUCCGGAAGGAAGGAUCACUAGGAGGGGGGAGAAGGGUCCAGCUGCAGGCUUGGGCGUUCCCGUCAUGACACAAAAACGCCCAUCGGGCGUUCCCGUCAUGACACAAAAACGCCCAUCAGGCGUUCCUGUAGCGUUUCAUCGAUCAAUCAAGAAGAGUACCCUGGCACAUGCUUUGUCCAAUGGACCAUGGAAGGGACUUUACUUGGCUGACGAGGACGCACCUCACCAGUAUCAGAGCAACAGCUGUGGGGUGUUUAUGCUGAUGUACGCAAUGUAUUCUACCCUCAAAAGCAAUAUGAUUUCAGUGAGGGGGACAUGCUCUCUAUCAGGAGGUGGUGGUUGGACAGCUGUUGGAGACCUUUAUGCUUGAAAGCCCUGCAGAACUAGCUGGCUCCUUCUCACCCUCUCCAUCUCCCCAUCUCAGUCACACCUUCCAAUCACUAAGCAGUGAAAGCCCUGCAGGACUAGCUGGCACACCAAGCUCACCCUCUCCAUCUCCCCAUCUCAGCCACACGCUCCAAUCUGGCACAACAGAGGACAGGCCAUUCUUACCACCCGAAGUCCUUCAGCAAAUUGUACAAGAGACGCUGAGACUGGACAUGGCGAUGCUUGGCGUGUUCAACAGGGUUUCAAACACAUUCCGAGAACUAAUCAAGCCUCUCCAUCCUUCCAUAUAUAUAAAUGACAGUUUGACAGGGGACAUUAAGCUUAAUAAAAACAAUCUCAUAUACAUAAUGGUUAGAAAGAUUUACAACAAUGCAGGCUGUGGCAGUGGCCUUGCGCUACGUCUCAAAGGCUUCUCAAAAAAGAAGAAUUGGCCAAGCGCACCCCUGGUACUGAGGAACGUUGCAUAUGGCAGGUUUGUCAUAAAAGAUGUCUGCCUAGCAUAAUGUUCUUUUAUUACUCCUUUUUCAUUUUAUUUGGGACGUCUUUUUUGCAAUCCCUUCCAUUUGUAAAUGUACAUACUACUGUAGUAGAUGUAUCUGCCCAGAAAUGCUGGUAUUUUAUUACAAAUGCUAUACGAUGUAUAACAUACAUUUG
ensembl:lncRNA